ensembl:lncRNA
GUUUAUUAGACUGGAUGUCUGGAGAGAGAUGGACAGCGGUGCGUGUUUAGUUGUGUUGCGGUGAACAGCGCCAUCUAGAGGCGAACAUGAGACAAAUGCGUCUCUACUCUCAUACACUGAGCUGAAGUGGGACGAGUUUCCAGGUGUGUGUGUGUGUGUGUGUGAGAGAGAGAGAGAGAGAGAGAGAGAGAGAGAGAGAGAGAGAGAGAGAGAGAGUGUGUGCAAAAGCUUUGUUAGGCCAAAAAGGGAGGGACUGAAGAGCCAGUCAGGUUCUUGGAAAUUAUUAUCAGCUUUUUCUUCCAAUGACAUAUCAAGGGAUGGAAAGAUUAAAAGUAAAAAGGGAGAUACAGGAAUAAAGAAGGUAUUUUUGGCUGGCUGACAACCUGGGCCAAUCAAUCAUUCCUCAAACUCAAUAACUGUGACUUAAGAAGAACGGCAGUUAGUAAACAGAUGUACACCAUACUGUAUAGUAUGCCUACAUUAGCAUUUUCCUAUCAAAUAUAUUGAAUAUUUUCAUUAAUAAGAAUGUUAAAAAAACUGUAUUAGUUUAUUUGAUCACAAUAUAACAAUUAUACAUAUAAAUACUCCACGUUUGUUGCAUGUUUUUUCCUUUCUCUUAUUGAAACAUUUCAUUUAAAACAAUGUUAUCACUUUCCGUUGUGUUCUUUCCAGUUCCUUUGUGACAUCAUCUUACAGGAAGUGACAUCAUUUUGGAGGGAAACCAAUAACACAAACACAGGCAACUAUCUAUCAACUCUCCCCUGCCUCAGCCAGACUCCAGGAAGUGACAUCAUCGACACAAGACAGAUGGUCCCAUUAGAUAAGAGAGGCCUGGGUGGCAUCACAGCUGGAUGGGAGUUAUCAACAAGGCAUUUGUCAACAGAACAUCUGAAUGACCUAUUUACUUUCAGCAAGAGCUGUAGAUUUAAGGCCAGACAGUGUGGAGGGGUUGAGAGCCAUGAAGUCGUGGUGUUAGACAAGGCCGUAACCGUGUCUUGAACACCGAACAAGCUAAAUGUGAUAAAGGCCUUGAGUGUAAUAGCUUUUGGUCCUAAAUGUGGUAAAGGCCCCAAAUUCAAUAACUUUUAGCACAAUCGUUUGUGCAGUCAAGGUGGUGCUCAGAUGUUGUCAUGGUUACAACCGCCAAGGACUUCAUUUUACUCAGUGCUUUGUACUAAGAAAAACAUAGAAUGAAAAAAAAGCAUUAUCCAUAGUCCUUUUAGGCAAAUAAUUAUGUUAAUUCAUAUACAGUAUGUUUGUUUGUGUGUGUGUGUGUGUGUGGGUACACAUAUUGAGUGUUUGAACUCAAAUAGUUUAAAAGAAGAGUUCACCCCAAAUAGAAAUUUUGUCAUUGUUUACUCACCAUCAUUUUGUUUAAAACCUUUCAUAAAUGAAUGUUCAUAGAAAUAAAAUGCACUGAAUUUGAAUUUUGAGAAUACCAGUUCCUGACAUUCAACAUUUCUUUUCAAAUUCCACUGAAAAAAAAAAAAAUAGGCUUGAAACAACAUGAGGGCAAGUUUUGGGGUCAAUUAUAUAGAAGUAUGGA